rnacentral:rRNA from 1 species
AGCCGCCGCGGUAAUACGUAUGAGGCAAGCGUUAUUCGGAUUCACUGGGCGUAAAGAGCACGUAGGCGGGUAGAUAAGUCAGGCAUAAAAACCUAAAGCUCAACUUUGGUGAGUGUCUGAUACUGUCUAUCUUGAGUACAGAAGGGGGAAAUGGAAUUCCCGGUGUAGCGGUGAAAUGCGCAGAUAUCGGGAGGAAUACCAGUGGCGAAGGCGAUUUCCUGGUCUGAUACUGACGCUGAGGUGCGAAAGCCAGGGGAGCAAACGGGAUUAGAUACCCCGGUAGUCCUGGCCGUAAACGAUGAGUACUAGGUGUAGGAGAGUAUUUCUUCUGUGCCGAAGCUAACACAUUAAGUACUCCGCCUGGGGAGUAUAACCGCAAGGUUGAAACUCAAAGGAAUUGACGGGGGCCCGCACAAGCGGUGGAGCAUGUGGUUUAAUUCGAUGCAACGCGAAGAACCUUACCGAGGCUUGACAUUUAUCUGACAGCUCAGGAAACUGAGUCUUCCAUUCUUAGGAUGGACAGAUAAACAGGUGCUGCAUGGCUGUCGUCAGCUCGUGUCGUGAGGUGUUGGGUUAAGUCCCGCAACGAGCGCAACCCUUAUCCUUCGUUGCUACCAGGUAAAGAUGGGCACUCAAAGGAGACUGCCGGUGAUAAACCGGAGGAAGGUGGGGAUGACGUCAAGUCCUCAUGGCCUUGAUGCCUCGGGCUACACACGUGCUACAAUGGCCUGUACAAAGGGUUGCGAAGGAGUGAUCCGGAGCUAAUCCCCAAAGCAGGUCUCAGUUCGGAUUGAAGGCUGCAAUUCGCCUUCAUGAAGGUGGAAUCGCUAGUAACCGUGGAUCAGCAUGCCACGGUGAAUACGUUCCCGGGCCUUGCACACACCGCCCG